AAGAUCUAAGAUGUGAUGAGAUUAAAAAUCAAUUACACGGAUACGACAAUGGUAUAUCAUCACAGGUUAACACCAAACAUUCAUGAUAAAAUGAAAAAUUAACAAAAACCAACACCGCAGUAUUCGCAUGCAUAUGCAAUUAUGCAUGCGAGCACGGGUGCGACUGAUCAGGCGAGGCGACGAUGCUAAUAUGUGAUAAACAUCGAUCGGUCUCCCUCCUCUGGAUCGAUUCCUGUAGAUCCGCAUUUAGUAGAGGAAAUAUGCGAGGACGGAUGCGACGAGGGCGGCGGCGGGGGCACCGGCCACGGCAUUGGCGUCGCUGGCGGCCUUGGCUUCCUCGGUGGCCACGACGGCGGUGGCCGAGGCGGCGAUCAUGAGGGCGGCGAAGGCGAUCUUCUUCAUCUCCAUCGUUGCUAGACACUUCCCCUCCACGUACGUAGUUGGCUUAUUCUUCUUGACCUUUUUUGCUGCGAGAUGGAGUUAAUUUUAUUGCUCUUGGGCUCUUAUUUCGCUUGAUUGGAAAUGUUUGGAGAAUGGUUUGAUUUAUAGGAUGCGGGCGGUUAGGCAGGAGUGGUGAGGAGCAAGAUAAGCUAGGAUGG
rnacentral:lncRNA from 1 species